UACGGGGGGGGCAAGCGUUGUUCGGAAUUACUGGGCGUAAAGGGCUCGUAGGCGGCCAACUAAGUCGGAUGUGAAAUCCCCAGGCUUAACCUGGGAACUGCAUCCGAUACUGGAUGGCUUGAAUCCGGGAGAGGGAUGCAGAAUUCCAGGUGUAGCGGUGAAAUGCGUAGAUAUCUGGAGGAAUACCGGUGGCGAAGGCGGUUCUCUGGGCAUUACCUGACGCUGAGGAGCGAAAGUGUGGGGAGCGAUCCGG
rnacentral:rRNA from 1 species